CUCUAAACGACUGAAGCAUUGUUUCUGAGUUAAUAUAGUCCUUUCUUAUUUUAUUGCUUUGCCAACCCAGCACAGAUGUAUUAUUUUGCAUUGGGGGGAAUUUCCAGACUGACGAAAAGAAAGAUUAAGUCAACACGUGCUAACAGUGCGACACUUGUUUUUUUAAAUUCACGCGCACUUUAUUCCCGCGAGACUGCUACGCCACAUAGGUCAAGGUCGCGAGCAUUGACGGAAAAUGUAGAAUAUCAUUUGGAUUGUAGAGUUAUAUUUUUUGUAUCGUUUCUUGAUGUUACUCGAUUACGACACGAUGGACGACUGGCAGGACUGGCUUCGGCACUGAUUCAUAAACCCAUUUGUAACAUCCAGAACCAAGAGACCAAGUGUAAUUUAAUAUAUUAUAUGGUAAUAAUAAUAAAGUGGUUGUUGGUGCGGGUGUGUACACGAUAAUAUCCGAGCGUAGUCGACGGGUUCGAUCAGCCGUCAAGUGUAAUCUCCAUCACUGCGACACACUUUAAUCCACAUCAAUGUUGUAAAUGAAAAAACUUGUUUAAAAUAUAUUUUCGCCAGUUUUAAAAUUUCGUGCUCUGCUCGGAGGAUAUCAAGGAUGCCUGGAUGUAGGUUGCGUCAACAUUUUCGCUGUCUGCGUUGCCUACUGCUCGUUGAAUCGAUAUUUUUUGCAUUGUCACAACACACAAGAAAAUAAAAAUUAUGAGGCAUGUUUUAAGGCGAGACUCGAGAUGGAGACUGAAAGAAAACCUACGCUCCAUCAUUUCCAGACUCAUUCGAGUUAGAUAACUCUUGCUAAUAGCAAAAAAUUAUCAGCACUCGGCCAAAGUAAUUGAAGCGUGAAACAAAAAAUAGAGGACAGUAGCAUAAGCUUACUUUGUUUUAUUUAUUUAUUUAUUUUUUUUGAAUUCGCCUUUUCGUCGCGAAUUAUUUGUGAACUGAAAUUAGUUCCGGUUGUAUCAAUUCAGCUGCAGGGGUCACAAUCUAUUGAACAGUAAAUUUAAGCGACCGCAUCCUGUCUCAGUAGUCUCGUUGCUAGGUUUGAUUACAAAUCACAAAUUGUAAAUAAUAUUGUUUAAAGUAAACAUAUGUUAGUUGUCUUGUUCUACCACAAAUUGCCCUUGAAUCUCUCGAUAUUGAGAUUUUACUUUCCCUUAUUGAGAUAACAAGUACGGGUGUUAAUCCUCGCAAGUACAUGACCCUGCAAUUAAAACUAAUUGAUCUAUUGUAACAAAUAAUUGCCGUGAAAUAAAUUUUCUACGGUCAGUU